AUUGAACGCUGGCGGCAGGCCUAACACAUGCAAGUCGAGCGGAUGAAGGGGGCUUGCUCCUGGAUUCAGCGGCGGACGGGUGAGUAAUGCGCAGGAAUCUACCUCGUAGUGGGGGAUAACGUCUCGAAAGGGGCGCUAAUACCGCAUACGUUCUGAGGAAGAAAGCAGGGGACCUUCGGGCCUUGCGCUAUGAGAUGAGCUUGCGUCCGAUUAGCUAGUUGGUGGGGUAAAGGCCUACCAAGGCGACGAUCGGUAACUGGUCUGAAAGGAUGAUCAGUCACACUGGAACUGAGACACGGUCCAGACUCCUACGGGAGGCAGCAGUGGGGAAUAUUGGACAAUGGAGGGAACUCUGAACCAGCCAUGCCGCGUGAAGGAUGACGGCCCUCUGGGUUGUAAACUUCUUUUGGAUGGGGCGAAAAAACGGGAUUUAUCCUGGACUGACGGUACCAUCAGAAUAAGCACCGGCUAACUCCGUGCCAGCAGCCGCGGUAAAGUAGUCGUG
rnacentral:rRNA from 1 species